GAUUUGAAGCUUGUGCAAUCAAAAUCAACUUUUGUUGUUUACUGUACUUUACUGUAACUGGAAGCAAUAAUGCUUCGAAUUUGCUGUAUGUUUGUAGUUAAAUUAUCUACGAGUAGGUAUAAUAAUGAUAAAGUAAUAAAGAAUAUAAAAGUGUAAUCAUGUUAAAAUUGCAAUAUUCAGUCAGUGUAAUAAAAAAAUAUUUAUUAAGUAUAGGAUUAUAAAUUUUAAUGUAAAAUCUCAUUCCUAAUAGACAAUAUUUGCCGAUAUGAUGACUAUUCGGCAAUAGAUUUGGUGAAUAAACUGACCACACAUGGAAGUUUUGCCAGUUACGCAAAUACGAAUAGCCAAGUGGGGUACGGUCAGGUUUCUCUGCCCCUUACGUACCAGCUUUCAAAGUGUACCGCCAGUGCGACGAUAUUGUCUAGUAGGCACGAGGGUUGCACAUUGCACGCAUUUAUAUCAAGUAUUCGGAAUGCACGCCUAAACGGCUGGUUUGAACUAGAUAAUGAUAAGUGUUGUGUUGUCGCCUACAUCUUAAAAGUGCCAUAUCGAAGUAUCGUAAUCAAUGGAUUAAUUUUAUGAGUUGGUCCUUUAACAUUUUAUAGAACAUUCGAUACGGUCUGAUGGUAUUGAAGGCGUCAAUACAAGAUAUGAAUGAGAAAUUUAAAUCGGUUAACCGCCUUUGUAACUUUGUUUAAAAUAGAUUUCUUCAGAAUGAAACUUACGUGAGCUGUGCUUAGGAUAGUUUCCGCUAGGGGCGCCACUUUGUAUACAAUGAGAAAACGAUAAGUGAAUUUUUCGUUUGAGAUGGCUCUAGCUUAUUUCACGGAUAAAAUAUCCAGCGGAUGCAAAUAAAAGAAGCUAGAUAUAAAAAGUGAAGUUAACACCCUGCAAAACUAUCCAUUUAGAAACAUACCAUAACUUACGAACUUUACGAGCUACGGUUCUAAAGAUGCAUAUGGCGACAAACGACUAAUAAAAAAACAUUAAUAAUGUAUAUUUCACAAUAGAGUUGACCUCAAAAGUUUUUUGGACAUGUUUUUGACAAUAAAAUAUGGUAAAUAAUAAAAUAAGUAUUAAUUAUUGUUUCAAAUGUGUAAUUUGUGAUUGUGUUGUACAUAUACAUAUACAUAUACUUCAAUAAAUCAUUAUAAUAUCAGUUA